rnacentral:rRNA from 1 species
AGUGAACGCUGGCGGUAGGCCUAACACAUGCAAGUCGAACGGCAGCACAGUAAGAGCUUGCUCUUACGGGUGGCGAGUGGCGGACGGGUGAGGAAUACAUCGGAAUCUACCUUUUCGUGGGGGAUAACGUAGGGAAACUUACGCUAAUACCGCAUACGACCUACGGGUGAAAGCAGGGGAUCUUCGGACCUUGCGCGAUUGAAUGAGCCGAUGUCGGAUUAGCUAGUUGGCGGGGUAAAGGCCCACCAAGGCGACGAUCCGUAGCUGGUCUGAGAGGAUGAUCAGCCACACUGGAACUGAGACACGGUCCAGACUCCUACGGGAGGCAGCAGUGGGGAAUAUUGGACAAUGGGCGCAAGCCUGAUCCAGCCAUACCGCGUGGGUGAGGAAGGCCCUCGGGUUGUAAAGCCCUUUUGUUGGGAAAGAAAAGCAGCAGGUUAAUACCCCGCUGUUCUGACGGUACCCAAAGAAUAAGCACCGGCUAACUUCGUG